ACAGUUCAGACGCAUGUUAAAACCUAUACUCAAAAUAAUGGGAACAAGUUAUGAUCCUGAGAGUGGAAUUGGCCUCACUGCACUUUGAAUUCGCCUAAACACAGUCUUUACUCUUUCCUUGGGACCUGCAUUUUCACUCUCAACAUCUCCGCUCUGUUUGUCCAGCUGUGCCACGUUCCCAUCAGCACUUACAAUCAACUUCCCAUUCUCUCCAGGUUUUACAUCUCCUAACCUUCUCUGCUUUCUUCACUUUUUUUUUUCCUUUCAGUUGACGGCCUCUGACUCAACUACAACCUUUGGCAUCUCCCGAUUGAUGUUCAAAACUAGAGCUACAACCGAGUCAGACACCAUAUCACUUAUGGGAUCUGCACUCCUUGAAGUGAAAUGUGUCUAUCAGACUCCUGCUUCACUGUCACUCGCUGAUGCAGUUGCAGCGUUGGAACUCCAGACUCCUCGUCUGUCCCAGAUUCCACACUCUCUUAUAUUUGCCCGAGUCGAUGCUUUAUCACACCAAAGGCACAAGAGAAUGGAAUGGUAAUCCUCUGCGUAAUAUUUGUUGUCAAUGGCUGUGAGAAUACAUGAAGCAGAACCCGGAGCUCACAUGAAAUUAGGAAGCAAGGAGAGAAUUAGGGAUUUCAGAGAGAAGGGGAAGAUGAAAUCAAAACGGUGAGUUUUUAUCAUUUUCAGGGGGUUUGGGUUAAGGUAACCAAGCUGGUUUGGUGGAAUCUAUUUUAAUAGUUUUUUAUUCAAAACCUAGGUGAAUUUGAUUUUAGAGUAAUAAUAUUAUAAUGUUUUUAAUCUAAGGGGACGAAAGUCAGAUUAGAAUGUUUUUUUGCAACAACACGCAUAUCUUGAAGUUUUUUUUAUAAGUCAAGCCGAUAUUGAAAGUUAAACAUCACAUAAGUUAAUUUUU
rnacentral:lncRNA from 1 species